UUUUAUUUGAGAGUUUGAUCCUGGCUCAGGAUGAACGCUGGCGGCGUGCCUAACACAUGCAAGUUGAGCGAUUUACUUCGGUAAAGAGCGGCGGACGGGUGAGUAACGCGUGGGUAACCUACCCUGUACACACGGAUAACAUACCGAAAGGUAUGCUAAUACGGGAUAAUAUAUUUGAGAGGCAUCUCUUAAAUAUCAAAGGUGAGCCAGUACAGGAUGGACCCGCGUCUGAUUAGCUAGUUGGUAAGGUAACGGCUUACCAAGGCGACGAUCAGUAGCCGACCUGAGAGGGUGAUCGGCCACAUUGGAACUGAGACACGGUCCAAACUCCUACGGGAGGCAGCAGUGGGGAAUAUUGCACAAUGGGCGAAAGCCUGAUGCAGCAACGCCGCGUGAGUGAUGAAGGCCUUCGGGUCGUAAAACUCUGUCCUCAAGGAAGAUAAUGACGGUACUUGAGGAGGAAGCCCCGGCUAACUACGUGCCAGCAGCCGCGGUAAUACGUAGGGGGCUAGCGUUAUCCGGAUUUACUGGGCGUAAAGGGUGCGUAGGCGGUCUUUCAAGUCAGGAGUGAAAGGCUACGGCUCAACCGUAGUAAGCUCUUGAAACUGGGAGACUUGAGUGCAGGAGAGGAGAGUGGAAUUCCUAGUGUAGCGGUGAAAUGCGUAGAUAUUAGGAGGAACACCAGUUGCGAAGGCGGCUCUCUGGACUGUAACUGACGCUGAGGCACGAAAGCGUGGGGAGCAAACAGGAUUAGAUACCCUGGUAGUCCACGCUGUAAACGAUGAGUACUAGGUGUCGGGGGUUACCCCCUUCGGUGCCGCAGCUAACGCAUUAAGUACUCCGCCUGGGAAGUACGCUCGCAAGAGUGAAACUCAAA
rnacentral:rRNA from 1 species